rnacentral:rRNA from 1 species
AAGUCGUAACAAGGUUUCCGUAGGUGAACCUGCGGAAGGAUCAUUAUCGAGUGCAUAGAGAGGUCUUUACAGGCCUCUUCAACUCUCACCCUUGUCUACCAUACCCUGUUGCUUCGGCGAGUCGCUCAUUGUUCUUCGUCUCUGUGAAAAGGAUGGAGAUUGAGCCUCGCCGAGGGACUGAACCACAUUCAUUUGAAACUUUGUCUGACAUAGCAUUUUAAGUAAAUUCGAUAAAAACUUUCAACAACGGAUCUCUUGGUUCUGGCAUCGAUGAAGAACGCAGCGAAAUGCGAUAAGUAGUGUGAAUUGCAGAAUUCAGUGAAUCAUCGAAUCUUUGAACGCACAUUGCGCCCGUCGGUAUUCCGGCGGGCAUGCCUGUUCGAGCGUCAUAUCUCCACUCGAGCUUCGGCUUGGAAUUGGGUCUCGCCUCGGUCUCUUUGUAGCCUCGGGCGUGCCUUAAAACAGUGUUCGGCGGUAGCAAGUUUCUAAUGUCCCCGAGCGUUGCGAAAUCAUUCGCUCCGGGUGUAUGUGGAUGAGCUGCCUGCUGCGGUAUCGUCUAUGGACGUGCCAACAUCGUAUUACCACAAAUUUGACCUCGGAUCAGGUAGGGAUACCCGCUGAACUUAAGCAUAUCAAUAAGCGGAGGACAAGAAACCAACAGGGAUUGCCUUAGUAACGGCGAGUGAAGCGGCAAAAGCUCAGAUUUGAAAUCCGGCCUCCAUCAGGGGUCUGAGUUGUAAUCUGCAGAGGAUGCUUCGGAGGUGACACCGGUCCAAGUUCCUUGGAACAGGACGUCAAAGAGGGUGAGAAUCCCGUUUGCGACUGGUCUGUCUGCCUCCGCGUGAAGCUCCCUCGACGAGUCGAGUUGUUUGGGAAUGCAGCUCAAAAUGGGAGGUAAAUUUCUUCCAAAGCUAAAUAUUGGCCAGAGACCGAUAGCGCACAAGUAGAGUGAUCGAAAGAUGAAAAGCACUUUGGAAAGAGAGUUAAACAGCACGUGAAAUUGUUGAAAGGGAAGCGCUCACGAUUAGACGCGCCCGCGAUAGUUCAGUCAAUCCUUAUCGGUCGGCCUAUUCUGUUGCGUGGCAGGCCAGCGUCGGUCAAGGCGGUUACAGAAGGGUUUGAGGAACGUAGCCCACUCUUCGGAGCGGGUGUUAUAGCCUUGGACGUGAUAUGGCCAGCCCUAACCGAGGUCCGCGCUCUCACGAGCUAGGACGCUGGCGUAAUAGUCGUGAGCGGCC